rnacentral:rRNA from 1 species
CAGUCGCCACGGUAAUACGAAGGGGGCUAGCGUUGCUCGGAAUGACUGGGCGUAAAGGGCGCGUAGGCGGCGAUCAAAGUCAGGCGUGAAAUUCCUGGGCUCAACCUGGGGGCUGCGCUUGAUACUUGGUUGCUUGAGUGGGGAAGAGGGUCGUGGAAUUCCCAGUGUAGAGGUGAAAUUCGUAGAUAUUGGGAAGAACACCGGUGGCGAAGGCGGCGACCUGGUCCUUGACUGACGCUGUGGCGCGAAAGCGUGGGGAGCAAACAGGAUUAGAUACCCGCGUAGUCCCUGUCUCUUAUAC